CCUACGGGAGGCAGCAGUGGGGGAUAUUGUACAAUGGGGGAAACCCUGAUGCAGCGACGCCGCGUGUGGGAAGACGGUCCUCUGGAUUGUAAACCACUGUCCCCAGGGACGAAAAUGACGGUACCGUGGGAGGAAGCGCCGGCCAACUACGUGCCAGCAGACUCGGUAAUACGUAGGGAGCAAGCGUUGUCCGGAAUUACUGGGUGUAAAGGGAGCGUAGGCGGGAUGGCAAGGCGGGUGUUAAAUCUACCGGCUCAACUGGUAGUCGCACUCGAAACUGCUAUUCUUGAGUGAAGUAGAGGCAGGCGGAAUGCGUGGUGUAGCGGUGAAAUGCGUAGAUAUUAGGAGGAACACCAGUGGCGAAGGCAGCCUGCUGGGCUUUUACUGACGCUGAGGCUCGAAAGUGUGGGGAGCAAACAGGAUUAGAUACCCGGGUAGUC
rnacentral:rRNA from 1 species